UGUAAGCGUAUACCAAAGUUGUUGCAGUUAAAACGCUCGUAGUCGGAAUUUGGCAGUUCCGGAAGUGUGCACGUCGUGUGCGCACUUUGCGGGGACUGCUUUUGUGGUCUUGCGUAGGAUGAGGCACUUUCAUUAGUGAACGUCCUCACGCAACCACUCUUUACUGUGAGAAAAUCAGAGUGCUCAAAGCAGGCAUUUGCCGUGAAUGUAUUAGCAUGGAAUAAUAGAAUAGGAAUCGGUUCUAUUUUGUUGGUUUGUUGGGACUGAGUAAUGAUUAAGAGGGACAGUUGGGGGCAUUUGUAUUCCGGCGCUAGAGGUGAAAUUCUUAGAUUGCCGGAAGACAAACUGCUGCGAAAGCGUCUGCCAAGGAUGUUUUCAUUGA
rnacentral:rRNA from 1 species